UACGAAGGGGGCUAGCGUUGCUCGGAAUCAUUGGGCGUAAAGCGCGUGUAGGCGGCCCGGUAAGUCCGCUGUGAAAGUCGGGGGCUCAACCCUCGAAUGCCGGUGGAUACUGUCGGGCUAGAGUGCGGAAGAGGCGAGUGGAAUUCCUGGUGUAGCGGUGAAAUGCGCAGAUAUCAGGAGGAACACCAAUUGCGAAGGCAGCUCGCUGGGACGUUACUGACGCUGAGACGCGAAAGCGUGGGGAGCAAACAGG
rnacentral:rRNA from 1 species